rnacentral:rRNA from 1 species
AUGUUCACAAUUUUGAAAACAAAUGUUUGGAAAUGCAAAAUGUUCAUGUUUUUUAAAGUCCGUGUAUUAAAAAAUGUUGUUGAAACUGAACAAAAUGUUCGCCGAAAUUUUAUCUGUGACGCAGCAAAUUGUUGUCAUGGCCUUUGGAGAUUACGAUUUUUUUUCUCCCGUUGCAAUGCACGGGCCCUUUUGCUGGUAGACACUAAUGCAACUUCUCCUAUGACAAUUUUACUGGUCCUUAGCUGCUGCCUUUUUCCUUUUCAGCAUCAUGUGCCACUUAUGCCACUAAUCACUCCACCCUUCAUAAAGAUGCAUGUAUUUACUACUGUCCUCUUCCUUUUCCACAUCAUGUGUCACUUUUGCCACUGA